UGCCAGCCGCCGCGGUAAUACGGAGGGUGCAAGCGUUAAUCGGAAUUACUGGGCGUAAAGCGCGCGUAGGCGGUUUUUUAAGUCGGAUGUGAAAUCCCCGGGCUCAACCUGGGAACUGCAUUCGAUACUGGGGAACUGGAGUACGGGAGAGGGAGGUAGAAUUCCAUGUGUAGCGGUGAAAUGCGUAGAUAUAUGGAGGAAUACCGGUGGCGAAGGCGGCCUCCUGGUCCGAUACUGACGCUGAGGUGCGAAAGCGUGGGGAGCAAACAGGAUUAGAUA
rnacentral:rRNA from 1 species